rnacentral:rRNA from 1 species
UACAGAGGGUGCGAGCGUUAAUCGGAAUUACUGGGCGUAAAGCGCACGUAGUCGGCUUUGCAAGUCGGGUGUGAAAUCCCCGGGCUCAACCUGGGAACUGCAUCCGAGACUGCAUUGCUAGAGUAUGGGAGAGGGAAGCGGAAUUUCUGGUGUAGCAGUGAAAUGCGUAGAUAUCAGAAGGAACAUCAGUGGCGGAAGGCG